rnacentral:rRNA from 1 species
UACCAGCACCCCCGAGUGGUCGGGACGUUUUAUUGGGGCCUAAAGCAUCCGUAGCCGGUUCUACAAGUCUUCCGUUAAAAUCCAGCUGCUUAACAGAUGGGCUGCGGAAGAUACUAUGGAGCUAGGAGGCGGGAGAGGCAAGCGGUACUCGAUGGGUAGGGGUAAAAUCCGUUGAUCCAUUGAAGACCACCAGUGGCGAAGGCGGCUUGCCAGAACGCGCUCGACGGUGAGGGAUGAAAGCUGGGGGGAGCAAACCGG